ACGGGGUGCAGCAGGCGCGAAAACUUUACAAUGCGGGAAACCGUGAUAAGGGAAUCUCGAGUGCCAGCAUAUAAUGUUGGCUGUCCAGAUGCCUAAAAAGCAUCUGUUAGCAAGGGCCGGGCAAGACCGGUGCCAGCCGCCGCGGUAACACCGGCGGCCCGAGUGGUAACCGCUAUUAUUGGGUCUAAAGGGUCUGUAGCCGGCCAGGUAAGUCCCUUGGGAAAUCUGGCAGCUCAACUGUCAGGCUGCUAGGGGAUACUGUUUGGCUUGGGACCGGGAGAGGUGAGAGGUACCUUGGGGGUAGGGGUGAAAUCUUGUGAUCCUCGGGGGACCACCAGUGGCGAAGGCGUCUCACCAGAACGGGUCCGACGGUAAGGGACGAAAGCUAGGGGCACGAACCGGAUUAGAUACCCGGGUAGUCCUAGCCGUAAACGAUGCUCGCUAGGUGUCAGUCACGGUGCGACCGUGAUUGGUGCCGUAGGGAAGCCGUGAAGCGAGCCACCUGGGAAGUAUGGCCGCAAGGCUGAAACUUAAAGGAAUUGGCGGGGGAG
rnacentral:rRNA from 1 species